rnacentral:tRNA from 1 species
GGAUUAUGGCUCAGUGGUAGAGCGCUCGCUUUAGCACGGGCAGAACCUGGGUUCGAUCCUCAGCACCA